AUAGCACGUUGGUCCCACCCGGUCCCAUCCCGAACCCGGAAGUGAAACGACGUUGCGCCGAUGGUAGUGUGGCGAUAGGCCAUGCGAGAGUAGGUCGCCGCCAGAA
rnacentral:rRNA from 1 species